GGCAGAGACCAGCUCGAUCUCUAGCCUCCUGCGGAGAUGCUGGUCCCCCGAGUCUGGUCCUCUGUGAGGCCGGGGCUGAGCAGGGUCUUGUCCAGGACCCUGGGAGGCUGGCCCUCAGGGGAGGGCAGGAGGAUGGACCUCUCAGGCAUCUACCCGCCUGUGACCACCCCUUUCACUGCCACGGCCGAGGUGGACUAUGGGAAACUGGAGGAGAAUCUGCAUAAACUGGGCACCUUUCCCUUCCGAGGCUUCGUGCUCCAGGGCUCCAAUGGCGAGUUCCCCUUCCUGACCAGCAGUGAGCGCCUGGAGGUGGUGAGCCGCGCACACCAGGCCCUGCCCAAGGACAAGCUCCUGCUGGCCGGCUCCGGCUGCGAGUCUACUCAGGCCACGGUGGAGAUGACCGUGAGCAUGGCCCAGGCUGGGGCUGACGCCGCCAUGGUGGUGACCCCUUGCUACUAUCGUGGCCGCAUGAGCAGCGCCGCCCUCAUUCACCACUACACCAAGGUGGCUGAUCUGUCUCCAAUUCCUGUGGUGCUGUACAGCGUCCCAGCCAACACGGGGCUGGACCUGCCCGUGGACGCAGUGGCCACGCUUUCCCAGCACCCCAAUAUUGUGGGCAUCAAGGACAGCGGGGGUGACGUGACCAGGAUUGGGCUGAUUGUUCACAAGACCAGGAGUCAGGAUUUCCAGGUGUUGGCCGGAUCGGCUGGCUUCCUACUGGCCAGCUAUGCCAUAGGAGCUGUGGGGGGCGUGUGUGCCCUGGCCAAUGUCCUGGGGGCUCAGGUGUGCCAGCUGGAGAGACUCUGCCUCACAGGGCAAUGGGAAGAUGCCCAGAAACUGCAGCACCGCCUCAUUGAGCCAAACACUGCGGUGACCCAGCGCUUCGGGAUCCCAGGGCUGAAGAAAACCAUGGACUGGUUUGGUUACUACGGAGGCCCCUGCCGCUCCCCCUUGCAGGAGCUGAGCCCCGCCCAGGAGGAGGCGCUGCGCCUGGACUUCGCCAGCAACGGGUGGCUCUGAGCGCCGGCCGGGGACUGCCGGACCACGCCCACCUCAGCCUCCUGCCGGGUGGUGGCCGCCUGAAGAAAGCGUGGGGGAGACGAGGGCUCAGGGUUCGAGGCGCCUCGUCUUACUUCAGUCCUCCAGAUCAGAGCUUCCCCUCCCUCGUCUAAGGUUGGGAAAAGAAUGACCAGGUACCCACCUUGAGCCAUCUGAGAAGGUCAGUACCCCGAAGCCAUUAAAGAGCCCAUUCUCAAAAUGGCCCAGGUAGGUGCCACCAUCUGCAAACAUCAGUUGACCAAAACCAUGUCUGCGGCCUGAGCAAAGAGAAGACGGGUGUCAGGUUGGGAUGGGGCAGCUUCAGGGUCCUCUGUCACUGUCUAACAUCCUUUGCCUUGCAUCACCCCACCCACAAAGGAAAGAAGAGAAACAGUGACAUUAGCAGGGCAGAGAACCAUUGCCCAGAGUAAUAACUUGGCUCCAAGGAUCGUUGCAGUGAAAAGGAAAAAAGAGCAGUGAGUUUUUCUUUCCCUUUCCUGAGAUCAAAGAAGAUAAAGAGAACAGUGAACAGGCCUGAACAUUCCCAGUUUUUACUUUAACUUUUCCUAAUCUGUCGUCUGUGACUGAAAAUGCUUUUCUGCCCCUGAACUCUGCAUGAGCUACAUUUUGCACCUAUUAUCAUUUGCAUGCAUGCGGGCUAAGUCACCUCAGUCGCAUCCAACUCUUUGUGACCCUAUGGACCAUAGCCCGCCAGGCUCCUCUGUCCAUGGGAUUCUCCAGGCAAGAAUACUGGAGUGGGUUGCCAUGCCCUCCUCCAGAGGAUUGAACCCACACGUCUCUUAUGUCUCCUGCACUGGCAGGCAGGUUCUUUAUCAUGAGCACCACCUGGGAAGCCCUUGACUCUGUGCUACUUACAUCCUGUAUCUGGUGCUUACCUUAUAGCGCUCUCUCUGCAAACCACCUCUUGUAGUUUUUCUCUUUUUACAUAUCAGAAAGAAGGGGCAGGGCCACAGGACGGCCAGACUCAAUUACUGGGAUACUGAUGCCAGCCUAUGACUGUUUUUGAAACAAUGCAAGAGGAAGAAUACAAGAUUCUUACACCUUCGCUCCUCAUCACAGACCCCUGACUGCAAGCCCUCA